rnacentral:rRNA from 1 species
AACGAACGCUGGCGGCAUGCCUAACACAUGCAAGUCGAACGAGACCUUCGGGUCUAGUGGCGCACGGGUGCGUAACGCGUGGGAACCUGCCCUUAGGUUCGGGAUAACUCCCCGAAAGGGGUGCUAAUACCGGAUAAUGUCUUCGGACCAAAGAUUUAUCGCCUUUGGAUGGGCCCGCGUUGGAUUAGCUAGUUGGUAGGGUAAAAGCCUACCAAGGCGACGAUCCAUAGCUGGUCUGAGAGGAUGAUCAGCCACACUGGGACUGAGACACGGCCCAGACUCCUACGGGAAGCAGCAGUGGGGAAUAUUGGACAAGGGGCGAAAGCCUGAUCCAGCAAUGCCGCGUGAGUGAUGAAGGCCUUAGGGUUGUAAAGCUCUUUUACCCGGGAUGAUAAUGACAGUACCGGGAGAAUAAGCUCCGGCUAACUCCGUG